rnacentral:rRNA from 1 species
UACGUAGGGGGCAAGCGUUGGUCCGGAUUUACUGGGCGUAAAGGAGCGUGUAGGCGGCCAGGUAGGUCUGCUGUGAAAACUCGAGGCUCAACCUCGAGACGUCGGCGGAAACCAUCUGGCUAGAGUCCGGAAGAGGAGAGUGGAAUUCCUGGUGUAGCGGUGAAAUGCGCAGAUAUCAGGAGGAACACCGGUGGUGUAGACGGCUUUCUGGACCAUAACUGACGCUGAGACACGAAAGCGUGGGUAGCAAACAGG